rnacentral:rRNA from 1 species
GAUGAACGCUGGCGGCGUGCCUAAUACAUGCCAGUCGAGCGAACGGACGAGAAGCUUGCUUUUCUGAUGUUAGCGGCGGACGGGUGAGUAACACGUGGAUAACCUACCUAUUAGACUGGGAUAACUUCGGGAAACCGGAGCUAAUACCGGAUAAUAUUUUGAACCGCAUGGUUCAAAAGUGAAAGACGGUCUUGCUGUCACUUAUAGAUGGAUCCGCGCUGCAUUAGCUAGUUGGUAAGGUAACGGCUUACCAAGGCAACGAUGCAUAGCCGACCUGAGAGGGUGAUCGGCCACACUGGAACUGAGACACGGUCCAGACUCCUACGGGAGGCAGCAGUAGGGAAUCUUCCGCAAUGGGCGAAAGCCUGACGGAGCAACGCCGCGUGAGUGAUGAAGGUCUUCGGAUCGUAAAACUCUGUUAUUAGGGAAGAACAUAUGUGUAAGUAACUGUGCACAUCUUGACGGUACCUAAUCAGAAAGCCACGGCUAACUACGUG